rnacentral:rRNA from 1 species
CCCUUAGAUGUUCUGGGCCGCACGCGCGCUACACUGAUGCAUUCAACAAGUUUUACCUUGGCCGAGAGGCCUGGGAAAUCUUUCAAAUAUGUAUCGUGAUAGGGAUAGAUUAUUGCAAUUAUUAAUCUUGAACGAGGAAUUCCUAGUAAAUGCAGGUCAUCAUUCUGCGUUGAUUACGUCCCUGCCCUUUGUACACACCGCCCGUCGCACCUACCGAUUGAAUGAUCCGGUGAAGCCUCGGGAUUGUGCCCAGAGAACUUUAUUGUGAUUUGGGUGUGAGAACUUGUCUAAACCUUAUCAUUUAGAGGAAGGUGAAGUCGUAACA